CAGUCGCCGCGGGAAUACGUAGGUGGCAAGCGUUGUCCGGAAUUAUUGGGCGUAAAGGGCUCGCAGGCGGUUUCUUAAGUCUGAUGUGAAAGCCCCCGGCUCAACCGGGGAGGGUCAUUGGAAACUGGGAAUCUUGAGUGCAGAAGAGGAGAGUGGAAUCCCACGUGUAGCGGUGAAAUGCGUAGAGAUGUUGAGGAACACCAGUGGCGAAGGCGACUCUCUGGUCUGUAACUGACGCUGAGGAGCGAAAGCGUGGGGAGCGAACAGGAUUAGAUACCCCCGUAGUCCCUGUCUCUUAUAC
rnacentral:rRNA from 1 species